rnacentral:lncRNA from 1 species
UUGGAGAGACGACUUUGAAGUUGAACGUUCUAUGUCGUUUGGCAGUAUACUCACUAGUGUUGAGUGACGACAUCCCAGCAUCGACCGAUACCUCUUGAAGAUUCUGAAAACUCUCGACAUGCAUCAAGUGUCGAUACAUCGAUUAACACCCUUCUGAACUUUCUGCAAAUCAGACACACGCUGCAAGUGUCAGUCGACAGUCCAUGAACAUCGAUCAACGCCA